ensembl:lncRNA
UAUACGCGUAUGUCACUUUACCUACCACGGCUAUACGCGUAUGUCACUUGACCUGCCACGGCUAUACGCUCCUGUCGCUCGACCUGUCACGGAUACCCAGGUGAAAAAAAAGUACACUUCUAUAAUGUACUUAAAGUGCUCUGUUUUCGCGCACUAAUUUCGUACUUAACAUAGGCUAAUAAAAUUCUUCUUUAGUACUUCUUAAGAUAAUCUUAAGAGCGUUUAUAAGCACACUUAAGUGUGCUAUUUUGAGACACCAUGAAAUAUGAACUAAAAUGUGCUUUUAAUAUACUAUCUCUGUAUUUAAAAAAAUGUAUUUAGUUACCACUUGUAGUACACUAUGGGUUCAAAUGUACUAUAAGUGGUAGACCUAUCUAAAUAUAAUUUUUUAAAUACAGAGAUAGUAUAUUAAAAGCAUAUUUUAGUUCAUAUUUCAUGGUGUAUUAAAAUAACAACUUGAGUGCACUUAGAUGUUCUUUUUGUUAUCUUAAGAAGUACUAAAUAUGUUUUUUAGUAGUUAGAAAUUAGUGCACAAAAAUAGAGCCCUUUAAGUAAAUUAUAGCACUAUUAUUGGCACUACUGUAGAAGGGCUGGUUGGUUGACCUUGUAAUACAGGAUCAAGAAGUCUUGGUAAAUAUUACAAAUUACUAAGCUAACCAUUUUACUACUAAUAUCCUAGCUAUCAUUUUUAGCAUUGUUAUUUACAAAGAGGUACUCUCUCACUGACAUUUUACUUUUGUAAUGUUUUUCAUGUUCACAUAUUGUAUAGCAAUAUAAUCUGUUAUAGCUAGUAAAGUUUACAUUUCUUACAUUUGUCUAAUUUUGGUUACAUUCCAGAGAUUGCAUGAAGGCUUGAGAAACGGCACAAUGCGAUCCAGCAGGAUGUUUUUAUUUAAACAUCACACAUUUUCUCCAAAGACAGAGAGGAUAAUUGAAAGAAUAUACACAGUAACACAGCUCCCUAGGGUUUCCCUGGACAACACAACUUACGUUCUUGAAGGUUUGACCCCUGAGGUAUAUAAACAGACACUUUGAUACAGUACAUGGGACAAUCUCAUUAAAUGCACUGUACAUAUAUCUUUCAUAAUUGCAUCUUCUUCUUUUUUUAAAGCUAACACUGUUAAUGCUGCAAAAGACUGAGGGCUUUCACAGGUUCCAGGUAGAAAUGGCUUUACAGUCAAACAUUGCUUAAGAGUAAGUCUUUCUUUUACUGUUGUUUUUUCAUUCAUCCUUAAAAUAUGUCUGAAAAGCUUAUAUCUGUGUCUUAUUUCUCUUUUAAAGGGUCAAAUGUUCAAAUCCACCAUGGUUUUGAUGGCACUUCAUCAGAAGAUGUAUGUAUGAAGAGGGUGGCCUGCUGAACAAAUGUACUUUAGGCCCAAAGUUCUUGUAGCCCUGUCCCCAUAUUCUUUCACAUUUCUCCUAGUAGUUUAAGAUCAAUAAUAUCACUGACACUGAAGACUGUAGGUAAACAUUGUUAUUGAAAUAUUGAUGUAGAUACAGUACCGGUCAAAAUUUUGGACACAUUACUACUAGUGUCUUAUUAUUAUCAAGCCUGCUCAAAGCCAAUUUGAUCAAAAAUACAGAAAGCACAGUAAUAUUGUGAAAUAUUACAAUUAAAAAUAAUGGUUUUCUCAUUUAAUAUACUUUAAAAUAUAUUUUUUUCCAUGAUCAAAGCUGAAAUUUUUACCAACCAUUACUCCAGUCUUCAGUGUCACAAGAUCCGUCAGAAAUCAUUCUAUGAUGAUUUGCUGCUAUUAUUAGUAUUGGAAACAGUUGUGCUGCUUAAUAUUAUUAUUUGUUUUGUGUGAUACUUUUUCAGGAUUAAAAGAUCAAUAAAAAGUUAAAAAGAACAGCA